rnacentral:rRNA from 1 species
GAUUCAAAUGAAUAAGGGCUUAGGGUGGAUACCUUGGCAUCCAG